rnacentral:rRNA from 1 species
CACGUAGGGGCCAAGCGUUGUCCGGAUUCAUUGGGCGUAAAGAGCUCGUAGGCGGUUCAGUUAGUCGGGUGUGAAAUCUCCGGGCUCAACCCGGAGGGGCCACCCGAUACUGCUGUGACUCGAGUCCGGUAGGGGAGUGGGGAAUUCCUGGUGUAGCGGUGAAAUGCGCAGAUAUCUGGAGGAAUACCGGUGGCGAAGGCGGCAUCCUGGACCGACAUUGACGCUGAACGGCGAAAGCUAGGGGAGCAAACGGG